rnacentral:lncRNA from 1 species
ACGUUUUAUUUAGAAAAAGAUUUGAAUAUUGAAGUGUGGAAGAAAGGCUUUGUAUUUGAAGGUGAUGAGGAAAUGGAAUUGAAUGUUGAAUGUGAUUAUUUACAUGUGUAUAAGUAUGGACAUGGGUACUAAUAACCUAACUAAAUUAGUUAACACACAAAAAUCGACUAAUCAAAUAAAAAGCAAUAUCAGAAAUUCAACCACUGACUAAAUCUAACAAGUAAACAUUUAAAAAUACAAACCACUAAAUAACGAUCGAAUUAAAUUAAUAAAAAUAUAAAAGUAAAAUAAAUAGCAAGAUACUAUAUAAAAAAGAAAUUAAAUAAAAUAGUAAGCAUAACAAAUAAAAACAUGAAGAUUUGCAAACCCACUCCACUAAAGGCAAUGAAACUGCUCUCUCUCCACUAGACCACUUAUGGUCAUUUGCUAUCUUAAUACUAAUUUGAAUAAGUAAACCAUAAUAGAUUAAAAUUAAAAUUAAAAAUAAAAUUAAACUAAAAUAGUCUGUUGGACUACCAAUUAACAGUGGAAGAAUCCAAGAAAAUAAACCCUAGCCGCCUGGCUGUUGGGUUUCCAAAGAGAAAUUAAUGGGUGCACUAAACAACAUACCAACAAUUAAAUUAAUGCCAAGGGAUACCAAAGGUAAGUGGUCUUUAAUCAUAUUUUAAACACUAUUUUCUUAAGAAAUAAAUAAAAGAAAUUGAAACAGAGCCACGUGAAACACGCAACAUCCACUCGCCUUCUCCAUGUUUACUCUCUCUUCACCACCUCUCGUAUUCGCUCCAUCUCCCUUGCUCUCUCAAUCGCUCGUUC